rnacentral:tRNA from 1 species
AAAAAAUUAGUUAAAUAAAUAACAUUAGUAUGUCAAACUAAAAUUAUUAUUACUAUAAUAUUUUUUA